UACGUAGGGUGCAAGCGUUGUCCGGAAUUAUUGGGCGUAAAGAGCUCGUAGGCGGUUUGUCGCGUCGAAUGUGAAAACCCGGGGCUCAACCCCGGGCCUGCAUUCGAUACGGGCAGACUAGAGUUCGGUAGGGGAGUCUGGAAUUCCCGGUGUAGUGGUGAAAUGCGUAGAUAUCGAGAGGAACACCAGUGGCGAAGGCGACUUCUUGGCCUGUUCUUGACGCUGAGGCGCGAAAGCUGGGGGAGCAAACGGG
rnacentral:rRNA from 1 species